UGACCUCGCAUACCUCCCUCCCACAUUUGCCGCAGUCACUCACCAGUGGCUACGCCGCGUCACCAGCAAGGCCACGGCAGCAGGGAUCCAACGAAACAAGAGAAGAGGCCCGAAAGAACGCGAUGGGCUGGUUUCGCUCCUCGGCCUCGGGAGCGGCCGGCACCGCCACCGCAGAAGCGCCAGCGGCAGCAACCGAGCACGGAGCCCAGCAGCGGCAGCCGCAGCCGGAAGCGAAUUCUCCGGCACCGUUGACUGAGGCGGAGCAGCUCGACCUCCUCGUCGCCGGUGCGCGUCUCGACGGCACAGAAGCGCAGGACACGGAUCGCUUCCUCGGGUCCAACAGGCGGCACACGUACGCGGACGGUCUGCUAAGCUGCGCCGCCUACACCUUCAGCGGGCUGCAGCACAUUCAAGGGCAAAGUAGCGCCCUGACGCUGCUCACCAUGUGGACGGUGGGAACGACGUUCCUGGUCGACGUGGCAGAGCGGAAGUACCUGCAAGAAUCUCUGCAGAGCACGCUGUGCACAACCCAGACAAGAAGCGUAGCUGAAAAGCCGGUAUUGCUCGAUCAGCCGCCACACAACGCUACACCGGCAUCUACGCCAGGAAAAGCAGCAGUGGCGCCGGCGAUGCCUACUGCGUACGACUCGCUGUCAUCAGCGAUCAAGAAGUCCGCGCCACAAGACAAGGAGAAGCUCGCGGAGCAGCAGCGAAAGGUGUUCUUGACACAGGCGGUUGCAUCGUGGUUGUGGAUGCUAGCCUCCUUUCAGCAGUUCAAGGUGCACAAGCGACUCAAGUGGUGCGGGUACAGCAGCUGGAUGGGACUCGGCUGCGCGGGGUACUACACGACUCGGCAUCUCUACAAUCUGCUUGUGAAGUAGGAGGGGAGCUGAGGGUGUAGAGGCGGAUUCGUGCUGCCGCAACGCGACGCAGCACUGGCGAACGCGCUCUAGGUCGGUGUACUCGGGGACGGAGGGUGCUGUCGCCUCUGCUCCGUUUUGUUCGUGUCGGUGGAUGUGCGGUGUAACCCCCCUCACAGUGCGCUUGGCGCGUGAUUGGCCGGCGACGGGGCUGGACGGUGAAGCUCCGACACCAGUGACAUGCGUACACGCAGAGAUCUUAUAAGUAUGCAGGUAUAUGGUCAUGAUAACGCGCUAAGGCCGGCGCUGGCGAUGAAGUUGUGGAGGCAGGCAUGGAGUACGAUAGCGUAGGCGAGAGCGUCCGCAGAGACGAGACUAGCGGCUCCCCCGUGUGGUUCUCUGAAGCGGAAGAGAAACAGUGACGGCGGCGUGGAAGGGCGGCGGAGUGCACACGUGGCUUUCCAGACACCUUUAUCGUGUACGGAUGGCUCUCUUCCACCACCCGUCCUUCUCUCGCCUCACGCCUC
rnacentral:misc_RNA from 1 species